UACGUAGGGUGCAAGCGUUAAUCGGAAUUACUGGGCGUAAAGCGUGCGCAGGCGGUUUUUGUAAGUCUGCUGUGAAAUCCCCCGGGCUCAACCUGGGAAUGGCAAUGGAGACUGCAAGGCUAGAGUUUGGCAGAGGGGGGUAGAAUUCCACGUGUAGCAGUGGAAAUGCGUAGAUAUGUGGAGGAACACCGAUGGCGAAGGCAGCCCCCUGGGUCAAUACUGACGCCUCAUGCACGAAAGCGUGGGGAG
rnacentral:rRNA from 1 species